CCUACGGGCGGCUGCAGUGGGGAAUAUUGCACAAUGGGCGCAAGCCUGAUGCAGCCAUGCCGCGUGUGUGAAGAAGGCCUUCGGGUUGUAAAGCACUUUCAGCGGGGAGGAAGGCGUUAAGGUUAAUAACCUUGUCGAUUGACGUUACCCGCAGAAGAAGCACCGGCUAACUCCGUGGCCAGCAGCCGCGGUAAUACGGAGGGUGCAAGCGUUAAUCGGAAUUACUGGGCGUAAAGCGCACGCAGGCGGUCUGUCAAGUCGGAUGUGAAAUCCCCGGGCUCAACCUGGGAACUGCAUUCGAAGCUGGCAGGCUAGAGUCUUGUAGAGGGGGGUAGAGGGCCAGGUGUAGCGGUGAAAUGCGUAGAGAUCUGGAGGAAUACCGGUGGCGAAGGCGGCCCCCUGGACAAAGACUGACGCUCAGGUGCGAAAGCGUGGGGAGCAAACAGGAUUAGAUACCCCGGUAGUC
rnacentral:rRNA from 1 species